UGGACAAUUAAUUGUUCAUUUUAUGGUUAUAACAAAGUUUGUCGAUUAAAAUUUUUAAUUAAUUAAUAAAAAGUUCAUAUUAAUCAACAAACUUUGUUUUAACCAUAAAAUGAACAAUUAAUUGUCCANNNNNNNNAUCUUAAUAGGCUUCCUGUCAUAUCAGAUCUGAUGAGUUGUAAAAAAGAAAAACCCCGACAUAGCAUUUCAACAAUGGCAACUUCAAGAUCACCAUCAUGCC
rnacentral:misc_RNA from 1 species